ACUCCUACGGGAGGCAGCAGUAGGGAAUCUUCCACAAUGGGCGAAAGCCUGAUGGAGCAACGCCGCGUGAGUGAAGAAGGUUUUCGGAUCGUAAAACUCUGUUGUAAGGGAAGAACAAGUACAGUAGUAACUGGCUGUACCUUGACGGUACCUUAUUAGAAAGCCACGGCUAACUACGUGCCAGCAGCCGCGGUAAUACGUAGGUGGCAAGCGUUGUCCGGAAUUAUUGGGCGUAAAGCGCGCGCAGGCGGUCCUUUAAGUCUGAUGUGAAAGCCCACGGCUCAACCGUGGAGGGUCAUUGGAAACUGGGGGACUUGAGUGCAGAAGAGGAAAGUGGAAUUCCAAGUGUAGCGGUGAAAUGCGUAGAGAUUUGGAGGAACACCAGUGGCGAAGGCGACUUUCUGGUCUUUUUUUUGAUGCUGAGGCGCGCAAGCGUGGGGAGCAAACAGGAUUAGAUACCCUGGUAGUCCACGCCGUAAACGAUGAGUGCUAAGUGUUAGGGGGUUUCCGCCCCUUAGUGCUGCAGCUAACGCAUUAAGCACUCCGCCUGGGGAGUACGGUCGCAAGACUGAAACUCAAAGGAAUUGACGGGGGCCCGCACAAGCGGUGGAGCAUGUGGUUUAAUUUGAAGCAACGCGAAGAACCUUACCAGGUCUUGACAUCCCGUUGACCACUGUAGAGAUAUAGUUUCCCCUUCGGGGGCAACGGUGACAGGUGGUGCAUGGUUGUCGUCAGCUCGUGUCGUGAGAUGUUGGGUUAAGUCCCGCAACGAGCGCAACCCUUGAUCUUAGUUGCCAUCAUUUAGUUGGGCACUCUAAGGUGACUGCCGGUGACAAACCGGAGGAAGGUGGGGAUGACGUCAAAUCAUCAUGCCCCUUAUGACCUGGGCUACACACGUGCUACAAUGGACGAUACAAACGGUUGCCAACUCGCGAGAGGGAGCUAAUCCGAUAAAGUCGUUCUCAGUUCGGAUUGUAGGCUGCAACUCGCCUACAUGAAGCCGGAAUCGCUAGUAAUC
rnacentral:rRNA from 1 species